AAGUCGUAACAAGGUUUCCGUAGGUGAACCUGCGGAAGGAUCAUUAGUGAUUGGCCUCCGGGCUUUCAUAUCCACACACCUCUGUGAACCUGCCGGCCCUCGGGCCUUCCUUUUUAAAACAUGGUGUAACGAACGUGAGAUAUCAUAACAAUAAGAAAA
rnacentral:misc_RNA from 1 species